GAUGAACGCUGGCGGCGUGCCUAAUACAUGCAAGUCGAGCGAACAGACGAGGAGCUUGCUCCUCUGACGUUAGCGGCGGACGGGUGAGUAACACGUGGAUAACCUACCUAUAAGACUGGGAUAACUUCGGGAAACCGGAGCUAAUACCGGAUAAUAUAUUGAACCGCAUGGUUCAAUAGUGAAAGACGGUUUUGCUGUCACUUAUAGAUGGAUCCGCGCCGCAUUAGAUAGUUGGUAAGGUAACGGCUUACCAAGGCAACGAUGCGUAGCCGACCUGAGAGGGUGAUCGGCCACACUGGAACUGAGACACGGUCCAGACUCCUACGGGAGGCAGCAGUAGGGAAUCUUCCGCAAUGGGCGAAAGCUUGACGGAGCAACGCCGCGUGAGUGAUGAAGGUCUUCGGAUCGUAAAACUCUGUUAUUAGGGAAGAACAAAUGUGUAAGUAACUAUGCACGUCUUGACGGUACCUAAUCAGAAAGCAACGGCUAACUACGUG
rnacentral:rRNA from 1 species